GAUUCUGGCUCAGGACGAACGCUGGCGGCGUGCUUAACACAUGCAAGUCGAGCGGAGAAUAUAGCAAUAUAUUCUUAGCGGCGGACGGGUGAGUAACGCGUGGGUAACCUGCCUUUUACUGGGGGAUAACACUGGGAAACUAGUGCUAAUACCGCAUAAAAUAGUGAAGUGGCAUCACUUUACUAUCAAAGGAGCAAUCCGGUAAAAGAUGGACCCGCGUCCGAUUAGCUAGUUGGAGGGUAACGGCCCACCAAGGCGACGAUCGGUAGCCGAACUGAGAGGUUGAUCGGCCACAUUGGGACUGAGACACGGCCCAGACUCCUACGGGAGGCAGCAGUGGGGAAUAUUGCGCAAAUGGGGGAAACCCUGACGCAGCAACGCCGCGUGAAGGAUGAAGGUUUUCGGAUUGUAAACUUCUUUGAUUGGGGACGAUAAUGACGGUACCCAAAAACAAGCCACGGCUAACUACGUGCCAGCAGCCGC
rnacentral:rRNA from 1 species